CAGUAGCCGCGGGAAUACGUAGGGUGCGAGCGUUAAUCGGAACUACUGGGCGUAAAGCGGGCGCAGACGGUUACUUAAGCAGGAUGUGAAAUCCCCGGGCUCAACCUGGGAACUGCGUUCUGAACUGGGUGACUAGAGUGUGUCAGAGGGAGGUAGAAUUCCACGUGUAGCAGUGAAAUGCGUAGAGAUGUGGAGGAAUACCGAUGGCGAAGGCAGCCUCCUGGGAUAACACUGACGUUCAUGCCCGAAAGCGUGGGUAGCAAACAGGAUUAGAUACCCGCGUAGUCCCUGUCUCUUAUAC
rnacentral:rRNA from 1 species